CGCUAGCGACAGGCCUAACACAUGCAAGUCGAGGGGCAGCACAAGGAGCAAUCUGAGGUGGCGACCGGCGCACGGGUGAGUAACACGUAUGCAACCUGCCUGUAAGCGGGGAAUAACCCGUUGAAAGACGGACUAAUACCGCAUAAUACUAAAUUACUGCAUGGUAAUUUAUUUAAACAUUUAUGGCUUACAGAUGGGCAUGCGCAUGAUUAGCUAGUUGGAGAGGUAACGGCUCCCCAAGGCAACGAUCAUUAGGGGUUCUGAGAGGAAGGUCCCCACACUGGUACUGAGACACGGACCAGACUCCUACGGGAGGCAGCAGUGAGGAAUAUUGGUCAAUGGGCGCAAGCCUGAACCAGCCAUGCCGCGUGCAGGAAGACGGCCUUAUGGGUUGUAAACUGCUUUUACAUAAGACUAACCGUAUGUUUGCGAAUAUACCUGAAUGUAUUAUGAGAAUAAGGAUCGGCUAACUCCGUGCCAGCCGCCGC
rnacentral:rRNA from 1 species